rnacentral:rRNA from 1 species
UACGAAGGGGGCGAGCGUUGUUCGGAUUUACUGGGCGUAAAGGGCGCGUAGGCGGGAUGGCAAGUCGGUCGUGAAAUCCUUCGGCUCAACCGAAGAACGUCGGCCGAUACUGCCGUUCUUGAGGGAUGCAGAGGAGAUUGGAAUUCCCGGUGUAGCGGUGAAAUGUGUAGAGAUCGGGAGGAACACCGGUGGCGAAGGCGGGUCUCUGGGCAUCUCCUGACGCUGAGGCGCGAAAGCGUGGGGAGCAAACGGG